CGUAUGGUUCUAUUUUGUUGGUUUCUAGGACCAUCGUAAUGAUUAAUAGGGACGGUCGGGGGCAUCAGUAUUCAGUUGUCAGAGGUGAAAUUCUUGGAUUAACUGAAGACUAACUACUGCGAAAGCAUUUGCCAAGGACGUUUUCAUUAAUCAAGAACGAAAGUUAGGGGAUCGAAGAUGGUCAGAUACCGUCGUAGUCUUAACCAUAAACUAUGCCGACUAGGGAUCGGGUGGCGCUACUUUGCCCACUCGGCAUCUUACGAGAAAUCAAAGUUUUUGGGUUCUGGGGGGAGUAUGGUUGCAAGGCUGAAACUUAAAGGAAUUGACGGAAGGGCACCACCAGGAGUGGAGCCUGCGGCUUAAUUUGACUCAACACGGGGAAACUCACCAGGUCCAGACGUAAUAAGGAUUGACAAGUUAGAGACUUCUCUUGAUCUUACGGGUGGUGGUGCAUGGCCGUUUUUAGUCCUUGGAGUGAUUUGUCUGCUUAAUUGCGAUAACGGACGAGACCUUAACCUGCUAAAUAGGGCUGCGAGCAUCUGCUCGUGGGCUCUUCUUAGAGGGACUAUGGGUAUCAAACCCAUGGAAGUUUGAGGCAACAACAGGUCUGUGAUGCCCUUAGACGUUCUGGGCCGCACGCGCGCUACACUGACGGAGCCAGCAAGUACAACCUUGGUCGAGAGGCCCAGGUAAUCUCGUGAAACUCCGUCGUGC
rnacentral:rRNA from 1 species